rnacentral:rRNA from 1 species
UGCCAGCAGCCGCGUAAUACGUGGGGUGCAAACGUUGCUCGGAAUCAUUGGGCGUAAAGCGCACGUAGGCGGCGUAUCUAGUCAGAGGUGAAAGCCCGGGGCUCAACCCCGGAAUUGCCUUUGAUACUGGUAUGCUUGAGUUCGGAAGAGGGUAGUGGAAUUCCAAGUGUAGAGGUGAAAUUCGUAGAUAUUUGGAAGAACACCGGUGGCGAAGGCGGCUACCUGGUCCGAUACUGACGCUGAGGUGCGAAAGCGUGGGGAGCGAACAGGAUUAGAUA